UGACUGAAACAUUAUUUGAUGAUGAUUAGGAUUGAGUGAAGAGAAGUGAGUCAUCAUAGGUCGUAUUCUUCCCUUGGUAGAAAAUCCUUGAGGAUAAGGGACAAAUGUAAUUUACCAAUACACGAGAAAAAUACAUUCUAAGUCAGCUUAGAACUUUGCUCGAACGUAUAACAAAAUACUUGCUGGAAAUAAUCAACUUUAAGGAGAUAUGUUUAUAAUUAUAUGUUGUUUGGAGUUCAAGUGUAAUCAAAUAUAAAUGGACGAGGGAUCAAGAGAUGUAAUAUAAUCAUUAUAUAAAUGCAUAAAAAAAGUAUAAUUAUACUUGGCUACAAGCAGUUUAUGUACCAUGCAACGAAUGGAAUUAAGAGUCAACAAAACAUUGUCACGUAUUUAAUAUAGAACUUGUUCAACGACGUCAUAAAUUACAUCACAGUUGAAAGAAACGCCAUUUGGGGCUCAAAAUUGAUAUUUU
rnacentral:lncRNA from 1 species